UACGUAGGGUGCGAGCGUUGUCCGGAUUUAUUGGGCGUAAAGAGCUCGUAGGCGGUGUGUCGCGUCGGCCGUGAAAACCUGCAGCUUAACUGUGGGCGUGCGGUCGAUACGGGCAUCACUGGAGUUCGGCAGGGGAGACUGGAAUUCCUGGUGUAGCGGUGAAAUGCGCAGAUAUCAGGAGGAACACCGGUGGCGAAGGCGGGUCUCUGGGCCGAUACUGACGCUGAGGAGCGAAAGCGUGGGGAGCGAACAGG
rnacentral:rRNA from 1 species